GAUGAACGCUGGCGGCAGGCUUAACACAUGCAAGUCGAGCGGAGUGAUGGUGCUUGCACUAUCACUUAGCGGCGGACGGGUGAGUAAUGCUUAGGAAUCUGCCUAUUAGUGGGGGACAACAUUUCGAAAGGAAUGCUAAUACCGCAUACGUCCUACGGGAGAAAGCAGGGGAUCUUCGGACCUUGCGCUAAUAGAUGAGCCUAAGUCGGAUUAGCUAGUUGGUGGGGUAAAGGCCUACCAAGGCGACGAUCUGUAGCGGGUCUGAGAGGAUGAUCCGCCACACUGGGACUGAGACACGGCCCAGACUCCUACGGGAGGCAGCAGUGGGGAAUAUUGGACAAUGGGCGCAAGCCUGAUCCAGCCAUGCCGCGUGUGUGAAGAAGGCCUUAUGGUUGUAAAGCACUUUAAGCGAGGAGGAGGCUACUGAAGUUAAUACCUUCAGAUAGUGGACGUACUCGCAGAAAAGC
rnacentral:rRNA from 1 species